AUUGAAAGCUGGCGGCAGGCCUAACACCUGCAAGUCGAACGAGUGGCGGACGGGUGAGUAAUGUCUGGGCAACUGACUGAUGGAGGGGGAUAACUACUGGAAACGGUAGCUAAUACCGCAUACCAUCGGAUGUGCCCAGAUGGGAUUAGCUAGUAGGUGGGGUAAAGGCUCACCUAGGCGACGCUCCCUAGCUGGUCUGCGAGGAGGACGAGCCAAUAUGGAACUGAGACACGGUCAAGACUACUACGGGAUGCAGCAGUGGGGAAUAUUGCACAAUGGGCGCAAGCCUGAUGCAGCCAUGCCGCGUGUAUGAAGAAGGCCUUCGGGUUGUAAAGUACUUGCAGCGGUGAGGCGUUACCCGCAGAAGAAGCACCGGCUAACUCCGGGCCAGCAGCCGCGGUAAUAC
rnacentral:rRNA from 1 species